AGCUCCAGUAGCGUAUAUUAAAGUUGUUGCAGUUAAAAAGCUCGUAGUUGGAUAUCUGGUAUGGCGGUCGGAUCGUUCCUUAAUUGGUUUGUAUCUGGCGAGCCGUGCCAUCUUGAAGUGGAAUCUAUCUGUCAUUAAUUUGCUGGGUAGAGGGUGCUUCUCGUUUACUGUGAAAAAAUUAGAGUGUUCAAAGCAGGCGUUUGCCGUGAAUACAUUAGCAUGGAAUAAUAAUAUAGGACUUUGGUACUAUUUUGUUGGUUUGCGCACCAAAGUAAUGAUUAAUAGGGACAGUUGGGGGGUAUUCGUAUUUGAUUGUCAGAGGUGA
rnacentral:rRNA from 1 species